GACGAACGCUGGCGGCGUGCCUAACACAUGCAAGUCGAGCGAUGAAGCUCCUUCGGGAGUGGAAUAGCGGCGGACGGGUGAGUAACACGUGGGUAACCUGCCUCAUAGAGGGGAAUAGCCUUCCGAAAGGGAGAUUAAUACCGCAUAACAUAACUUUAUCGCAUGGUAGAGUUAUCAAAGGAGUAAUCCGCUAUGAGAUGGACCCGCGGCGCAUUAGCUAGUUGGUGAGGUAACGGCUCACCAAGGCGACGAUGCGUAGCCGACCUGAGAGGGUGAUCGGCCACAUUGGAACUGAGACACGGUCCAGACUCCUACGGGAGGCAGCAGUGGGGAAUAUUGCGCAAUGGGGGAAACCCUGACGCAGCAACGCCGCGUGAGUGAAGAAGGCCUUAGGGUUGUAAAGCUCUGUCAUAUGGGAAGAUAAUGACGGUACCAUAAGAGGAAGCCACGGCUAACUACGUGCCAGCCGCCGCCGUAA
rnacentral:rRNA from 1 species